UUAACCUUUUUUGCUCUACAGAAUAAAAAUGUGGCUAAUUUUGUCAUGAAAAUGUGCACCAAAAAAAAGGCUUCAUUUUCUGUAAACUAAGUCUAAUAUAGUAUUUUUCAGAUUUUUUGGUGGUGAAAUGUGACCCCGACAUGCUCUCAACCGUUUACACCUGUGUGAAUAACUGCUGAAUAGCGUCAAUUAUUUUUGUUCUAAAGGAGCGGGUUAUUUUUGUCGCGAAGGAACGCGAGCGAGAGUCGGGAAGUGUGAGGCAUGAUCUUGAAUUAUGUGCCUUGUGAUGAUUGACAUGUCAGAAACCCUCCUACGGACGAGAGUACUGAAUCUUCAUAUGCAAAAACAGGUUCCUCUUCCCCAUUUCCCACGAUGCAAGGAAUCUCACGGCGUAUGGGGGACUCAGUACAGUACCGGGUGACCUCCUCAUCCGAAGUACUAUCCGUGUAUUUUCUAAGAAGCCUUUUGGAUGGACUAAUGCAUGAGUUUGUCAUCCUCACAGAGAGGUGAAUAUAUCUAUCUCUGUGUUUGUUGCUGCAGUGGAAGUGACCACUAAAUGUUCAAUGCAACUCCAUACUCUCGAUCAGCAGCACCCCUCGGACAUGAGAGGGGGUUACCUUCUGCCUUUGCUUUGCGACCCAUGAAUAUGCUAACCUCGACUCGUCUGCGUAUACGUGUGUGUUCGUGAACAUACAUGUAUGCAAGAGUAUGUGUAUGCUCACUUUAUAUAUAAACUAAAGAUUCAAUAUAUUUGAAAGCAUA